AGUUUCCGGAGAGAAAAAGGCAUGCAGGAUUAUGUAAACUUUUAUACUUCUUAGUAAUUUAGCAAAACUCAAAUAUGCUUUCCUGGACACGUCUUUCUUCGUUGUCGCAGAGAAUAGGAUUGCGAUACGCGAAGACUUUAACUAGGGCAUCUAAAAAUACGAAAAAGUCAAAAGAGGAUAAGAAUAAGAACAAUGCUUGUUCAGAGGUAAAACCAGCUCCUGAUUACAUCCAAACCCGACUAGAUUUGUGGAAUAAAUGGAAGGAAUCCUACACUAAUUGGUUGGCAGAUCAACCGAGUAUAGAUAUUACAAUUACAUUGCCUGAUGGUAAAGAAGUAAAGGGUCAAUCAUGGCGCACAACCCCCUAUGAGAUUGCUAAAGGAAUCAGUCAGGGACUGGCUGAUAACACUGUGAUAUCCAAGGUGAAUGAUGAAUUGUGGGAUAUUGAACGCCCACUGGAAAAAGAUUGCACCAUCAAGUUUUUAAAAUUUGAUGACGAUGAAGGGAAGCAAGUAUUUUGGCAUUCCAGUGCACAUAUUCUUGGAGAGGCCAUGGAACUGAAAUAUGGUGGCCACCUUUGUUAUGGACCACCAAUUGAGGGAGGCUUUUAUUAUGACAUGUUCAUUGAUGAUGGGCAAGUAUCAAGUAAUGAUUAUAACACCCUUGAAACUGCUGUCAAGUCAAUAGUGAAAGAGAAGCAACCUUUUGAAAGAUUAGAAGUGAAGAAAGAAGAUCUUUUAGAGAUGUUUAAGUAUAACAAAUUCAAGCAAAGAAUUCUGAAUGAGAAAGUCACCACGCCAACAACUACGGUAUAUCGAUGUGGGUCUCUGAUUGACUUGUGUCGCGGGCCUCACAUAAGGCACACUGGUAAAGUGAAAGCUCUUGCUGUUACCAAGAAUUCCUCCACUUAUUGGGAAGGUAAGGCUGAUGCUGAAUCUUUAAACAGGAUAUAUGGUAUAUCCUUCCCAGAACCAAAACAAAUGAAGGAAUGGAAACAUUUGCAAGAGGAAGCAGCAAAGAGAGACCAUCGUAAGAUAGGCCGGGAACAAGAACUGUUUUUCUUUCAUGAACAAAGUCCAGGUAGUUGCUUUUUCCUACCAAAAGGGGCCCACAUUUAUAAUAAACUUAUUGAAUUUAUUAGAAGUGAAUACUGGAAAAGGGGUUUCCAAGAAGUAGUGACCCCUAAUAUUUACAACAGUAAACUAUGGGAAAUUUCAGGCCAUUGGCAGCACUAUGCGGAGAAUAUGUUCUCAUUUCAAUCUGAGAAAGAAACAUUUGCUCUGAAACCAAUGAACUGCCCUGGCCAUUGUUUGAUGUUUGAUCAUCGACCAAGGUCAUGGAAAGAACUACCACUCAGGCUUGCCGAUUUUGGUGUCCUUCAUCGAAAUGAACUGUCUGGAGCUUUGAGUGGCCUGACGAGAGUCAGAAGGUUUCAACAAGAUGAUGCCCAUAUAUUUUGCCGACAGGAUCAGAUAAAAGAAGAAAUCACUGGUUGUUUAGACUUCUUGAAGAAUAUUUAUGGUAUAUUUGGGUUUACUUUUAACCUAAAACUAUCCACCCGACCUGAGAAGUAUAUGGGAGAGCUGGAGAUGUGGAAUGAAGCUGAGAAGCAAUUAAGUGAAUGCCUUGAUGAUUUUGGCUGUAAUUGGAAAAUUGAUCCUGGAGAUGGUGCUUUUUAUGGACCAAAAAUUGACAUCACAAUCUUGGAUGCGUUACAGCGGCCGCACCAAUGUGCUACUAUCCAGCUUGACUUUCAGUUACCUCUUCGAUUCAAUCUCUCUUAUAUCAGUGGAGAAGGUGGUGACAAGAAAACACCUGUGAUUGUCCAUCGUGCUAUUCUUGGUUCUGUUGAGAGAAUGAUUGCUAUCCUUUGUGAAAACUAUGCCGGGAAAUGGCCUUUCUGGCUUUCUCCACGCCAGUCCAUUGUUGUUCCUGUUGCCCCACCGUUUGAUGAUUAUGCUCAACUCGUGAGCAAACAAAUUCAUGAUGCUGGAUUUAUAUGUGAUGUAGAUUUAGAUCCUGGUACUACCAUGAACAAGAAAAUCCGCAAUGCUCAGUUGGCUCAAUAUAAUUUCAUAUUUGUUGUUGGUGAGAAAGAGGUGCAGAAUCUAACUACUAAUGUACGUACCCGAGAUAACAAGGUCCAUGGUGAACAUAGCAUUGUCAACAUCAUUGAACGUUUCAAGGAUUUGAACCAGAGUAAAAUACCUGAUGCUGAAGAAAAAUUCUAAGAUCAAUAAAUCAAUAUGUACGUUGUUUCAUCUCUAUUGAACACAUCUAGAACAUACUUUCUCUUCUGAAAUAACAUUUGUCUUCUUCUGUUCCAUUUUGUUUUGUUAUUUGUUGCAAGGUACACCUGUUUUUUUUCCUUCAUGAUUGCCAAGUUUUGGAAUGGCUCUUUGGUACCAUUCCUUAAUUGAUGUGCCUCUGUUAAACUAUACUUACUGCUUACUGUUUCAUUAUAAAUUCUUCUGGUGGUACCAUUCUCUAUAUGUCUCCCUUUAUGUAUAUAUGAAAA